GCCUCUUCCGACCUGAGUCUCCCCCUUUCCGAAGACCUUCCCAACCCCUUCCCCUUCCUGUUCCCUGUCUCUCUCCGACUCUCCCUGACUCACACCUCCGCCCCUGAUCGCCGCCACCCGCCAUAGGCGUCUCCCAGAAGAGUCAGCGCUCUUCCCCUGAGGCCCUGGCCCCCUGCUUCAUCUCUGUUGCCAAUCUAGACGAGUACCCCCCCCCCUCCCCCCCCACACCGCGGCGCCCAAUCCUUGGACCUAAUCCUCUCGCACCAUUACUCUGUUCAGAUCAAUCGGUGCAGAGCACGGACGAGGACGAAGGUGCGGAACACGACUUCGUCAGUCAUUGUUCCUCCUGAUGCCUCCCUGAUCCCUCCCAACAUUACUUGCAGCAGCCCCACUGGUGCUUUGCCCUCGCAUCGCAUCGUUUCUGUUCAGAUCGGUGCAGAAUGCACCUUCAUCGGAUCCGAUUGCUCGACCUCGCAGUCCUCUGCUGUCAACUUCUCCCUCAUACAACACAGUAUUCUUGAGGUAGACUUUCUUCCCAUGGUUAUGGCAGCAAAAUUUCAGAUUACCUUUUUUUUUUUAUCUCAAGUCAUGACCCGUGGAUUGUUGUUACAUGUUUCUGUAGAGAUAGUGUUGCAUUGUUGCAUUAUAUUAGCUGUUUCUGAUAACCAAAUCACCUGUCUUAAAACUAAAUUAACAAGUCACGGCCCCCGUCUACUCGGUGUUCUGGUGUGCUUUCGGUUUUCUUUCAAGCGGAGGAAGAAGAUGCAGGUUCGAAGUAGCAAUUAGAAUGUCAGUUUCAUCUAUAGUACUCUUUAUUUUAUAUACACAGUACACUACCAGUUCUCUUCCUUGCCUAUUUUUUUUGACCGAAAACUGUAGGGGAAACCCCUAUUAUUCUCUUCCUUGCCUAGAGACACGGCUACUAAAAGAUCUCAGAAUAAAACAGGCAGGUUUGUGCACUUUCUUCAUUGUGGUUAUGGCAUCUUCAAUUGUUAAGUUUUUUUUUUCUAGAACUAGCCCCGGCAAUUAAAUAAAGAUUUAAGGUGUAAGUCAUCUUUUCCACUUUCAAGUGAUUCCACUUGAGUCAUGCAUGUUACUAGGUUAUCAUAUUCUACCCCAACUACUCGACAACAUGUGAGCUAGCAUAAAAUGGAAAAGAUGUAAUUAACACCAAAAAAUUAUGACCUGCUCUUCUAUUGAUAUUUUAUUUGUGCUACCUGCUCUUCCAUUUAUGUUUUAUUUGUUCAGAAUAGAUUAUGAUAUUUAUAUAAGUACAGAUGGGUAAACGCUCUCAUGUAAUUGCAGUAUUAAUCUAUCAUUUAUUAUUAGUUGGCUAUACGUGUUGUGUGCCUAUGCAAUAUUUUUUGUUUGGUUUUUUUAGCUUCGGUUCCUUUGUCUGCUAAAACAGUGGGUAAUGGUAUGAUAGCACAUACAAGUGCUUAGGUGACUGUCAUGGUAUGUAAUACACAACACAUGACACCAUAGAAAGCGUAGCACAGAACUGAAACAAUUACUUAUUACCUCACCGUCAUGGUGGAUGCAAUGGACUUACAGGUUUUUACUAAUUUUUUAUAAAACACCUAUGUUAGCACCAAAAAUACACCUGACAUUUAGACCAACGCUCUUGACAAUCUACUUAACCGCAUAGAUUAGGUCAUCAGGCUCGCACAUGUGUGUGGUCCCCGUGCUAGAUUAAUUACAUCAAACAAUUGCUUUUAACUCCCACGCUUGAGAGCUCUCUUUAUUUGAAAAAAUACAUAUCAAGAGGUGCAUCUACAAGUUUCAAAUAUCUCCAAACAAUCUCUUUGUUGGGAACACACUAUGCAUUUGUACAUUUUCAUGAAAAUAUGCUUUCAUUUGCAGGGAACAGAAAAGUGGUGGUCUACAUCAGCAAAAAAAUGCAGCUAGCCAGCUACUAUGAUCGCUAGAGCUUAGGAGCCAAAAAAUCCUCUCAAGGCACACCACAUCUGGUAAAGCAUGUACGUUGGCUUUCUUCGUUGAUGUGUCAGGUUAUCUCUUUUUUCUGUCCUUCAAUCUUCCUAUACAAAGUUUCCUCGAAUGUUUGCUUUAUGUACAAAAGAAUCACUAGAAUUGUUUAACCAUAUCUGUCAACUGAUCGGACACUUUCUGUUUCUGUUAAGGAAGGGCUGACAUACAAAGUGUUGUGUGUAAUUGUGUAUAUGAGCAACUGUGUGCUUAGCUCCCAAGAUACAACACCACCAGAGGUAAAAACUGCAUCAUGUUUAUUAUCUGUAGGUGAAGUCAUGACUCAGAUUUAAUGUAUUGCAGAUAAAAGAAAUUGAAAACUUCAAAAGGCAACUCUGGGGUAAUUUGUCUUUCGUUUCGAAUUAUGCAUGAGUACACUCACAACAAUAAGUUCGGCUUCAUCAGAAGUUUUUCUUGAUACAAAAAACAUGUCGGGUUGAUAUAUACAUUAGUCAAGUUCUGCAGAUGCAAAAUAAAUUACUUUAGUUUAUACAGGAAAAUAGAAAUAAAGUGUUUUCUUUGAAGGCUACCAUUUCUUAUAGUUGCGCAUUCAAGUUUAAGCUCCGACGUAAGAUUUUGCUUCGGUUGGUAUCCCAAAGAAGAUCUAUUGAGCUGAGAAUGCCAUGUGUUGUUACACUUGAGGUUGCAAUCUAUUAUGUAUUGUGUAUUUCAUGCUUUACCUAGCUCUAUUGUGCAUUUCUUAUGUAUUUUUUAUUAUUAUAAAUGAACCCAAAACCGAGUACCUUUCACAUUCCUGCCUUUUUUCUGUAACUUCGAUUCUAUUGAUUAUAUAUGUUUGUUCAGAAGGUUAAUACCUUGCUCAAUGGAUUAUAUACAUAACAGAUGUAAAUAGUAUCCUGUUCUUAUUAAACUUGGCAACUUUAAUGAUAUUUGGCAAGAAUUUGCUUGCGACCUCCUACAAAACUACCCAUCCCUUUUUCCGGACAAGCUACUCAUUUCAUGAUUUGAGCAUAGAGAAUAGCAAUGAAGUUGUAUGUAUGUUCUAUACCACAGUUCAUGCGUUGUUUGAUGAAAUUGGCAAGUUUUUUUACUAGCACUUCUAAAAAAUGUUUCAGCAUAUGUGUCGGCAGCUUGGUUAAAGAUGAAGCUGGCCCAUUUUCCUGUAAUAGCAUUGAAAAUUAUAUAAUUCUUCUUGGGUUCAAUUUGCUUUUAUGUAAAAAUCAUGAUAUGGGUAAGCUUUAGCACUUGCUCCGCAUGUCUACAAAUAGUUUUUUAAUCUCUUUCGAGAGUUUACAAAUUAUUCAUAUCAUGGAAUUAGCACAAAAAACAUUCUUUAAGUGUUCCCUUUUAUAAGAUGUUUUUUUCAACCAUGCUUUGGAACUUAGCACGUUGGUUUGGUUUGUUCCCGGGGUAGACACUAAAUCAUUUGUUUACAUUCAUAAGGAAUUAUUUUACUUUGAUUUUGCCUUCUGGCUUGGAGAUUUAACAUGCAUUUUUCUUUCCGGUUACUUGGGAAGGCAAAAGGAUGAGUUGGAUGUUGUCAUGUCAAUUAUGAAUAUUUGCAUUCAAUCUUAAUGCUUUUUAAACUUCACAUUUAUAGCUAUAAUUAUUUACAGGUGAAUUGCAUGUAUAUGUGGUCAUCUUCAUUAUCUACUUGGUACAGAGGUAAUAUAUGAUCAUCUUCAUCAGGCACGGUUGCAAAGAACUCGCCAUGGUGUGAAAACUCACCAACUGGAUAGCAAGGGCGUAAGUACAACAGUACCUAUUGGCUACCAUUUUCUCUUUUUGCAAACAUAGAUGAUUGUGCAUUUAGAGUUGUGAAUUAGUUUGUCCAUGGAAACUGUUUUAUGCUAUCCAUGAUUUGUUGUAAGUCCAUUCCCUAGAUUUCUUUAUUCCUUUCGAAGUUGCAUGUACCAAAGAAUUUGUUGUAGAAAUUGGACGAAAAUAUUUUAAUCAAGUGCAUCUGCAAUUUCUUUGUAAAAGAAAA